ensembl:lncRNA
GGGAAAGGAAUGGAAUAAACGAAAGAACAGAGAAACAAUGGAAUGUAAAGGGAAAGGAAUGAUGAGGAAUGGUUUGCUUUAAUGGAUUUACUGUCAGUGGUCAGACUGUCGCAGUGAGUGUCAUGGACUAAGAACUAAAUGUCUGUUGAUUGACAGCUUUGUGGCCGUCCUUUGGUGAUCAGGGAACGACACAAUAUCACUGCUUCCUGUAGCACAAUUUAAUCAAGCUUUUGUUGGACUAUUAUCAGCUUAUGUGUUCAUGAACAGGUCUCAUCUGUUUCACCAGCUAAUCUCCUUCUGGAGAGGCGGAGAAUUCCAACCCAGUAAAUAAUGUUAAUCUGACAUAAGCUCUCUACCCCUUCUUUUUCUCGACAGAAGUGCGGAUUAGCCUCCCUCCCAAACAGUUUUCAGAGAAUCGCUAAGGUAAUAACGUGCCAUGUCGUGUGCUGGCUCAGACCUGAGACGUCUCGUUGUUCUGCUGAUUGGAUGGUGGAAAAAAGAAUGAAUUUGCCUGUAUAUUCAGUGACCCAUGUGACACUGCGCGGUGCGUAUUAGGGACCGGGAAAGCCCAUGCCAUCUCUCAGAAGAUGAAAUAUUAAAUUACAAACUUGUUAGCCUGGUUAUCCUGGAAUGGAUUUGGCAUUGACGGAGAAAUGUAAUUAUUUCUGCCUCUCGCUUUGCUUCUUUCAUCCAAAGAUUAAUGUUAUUAAUAAUAGCAAUAUCCGCAGGAUUUGUCCGGUCUCUUAAAUAAACAUGAUGGAGUCAUAAAGAUUGUGUGGCUCAGACCAGGAUGCGGCUUUUCAUUCUACAGAACUAGAUCAUCCCGGACAUGUGAGCCAUUAACGGGUGACAUCAAUUACGUAAGGAAUAAAACACUUCAGGGUGUGCUGUUGUAGGAAAUUAAGCAAUGAUGGGAUGGGAUGAUAUCCUCAGGCAGAGUACUGUUGAUUAUUUUCCAAUAACAGCAUGUUUUCCAUCCAUCUUCUAUACCGCUUACUCCUUCUUCAGGGUCACGGGGGAACCUGGAGCCUAUCCCAGGGAGCAUGGGGCACAAGGCGGGGUACACCCUGGACAGGGUGCCAAUCCAUCACAGGACACAAUCACAUACACACUCACACACCCGUUCAUACACUACGGACACUUUAGACACGCCAAUCAGCCUACCAUGCAUGUGUUUGGAC